CUCUCUGACCUUUUCAAUAUUGUUUCAAUGUUGAAUUGCGACCAGAAAGUGUGGUUCGACCUCCAGUUACAUCUGGGUCGAAGAGGAAAAGUGAGGAACAGACAACUAAAGCCCAACGGCCUAAGAUACGUCACUCUCGCAUAUAACGAGGCCAUAAAGAAUCAUCUGAGGGAGACACCGGUGCCAAUAUAUCCAACAAACACCGGCCUCUCGGGCAUUAUCACUUAAGUCAGCUGUGGUGGAUAACAACGUGAAUGUAUGGUUUCAGUUAUUAAAAUCAGCUCAAAUGAA